rnacentral:rRNA from 1 species
AGAGUGCGUAACAGCUCACUAGUCAAGUGAUUCAGCGCCGAAGAUGUACCGGGGCUUAAACAUUGUACCGAAGCUUAGGGCUCGUAAGAGCGGUAGCGGAGCGUUCUAAUUGCGAUGAAGUCAGACCGUGAGGACUGGUGGAGCGAUUAGAAGUGAGAAUGCCGGCGUGAGUAACGAUUUAGGGUGAGAAUCCCUAACGCCGAUUGAAUAAGGUUUCCUGGGCAAGGCUCGUCCUCCCAGGGUUAGUCAGGACCUAAGGUGAGGCCGAAAGGCGUAGCCGAUGGACAACGGGUUGAUAUUCCCGUACUUGCUAUAGAGUGAUGGAGUGACUGAGAAGGCUAGGAUAAGCGUGCGAAUGGAAGUGCACGCCUAAAUUGUAGGUGGUGUUGUAGGUAAAUCCGCAACAUGUUAACACUGAGAAAUGAUGGGGAGUGAAAACCUUCGGGUGAUUAGCGAAGUAUCUGACGCCAAGCUUACAAGAAAAGCUUCUAACUUAAUCUAUAUGCAACCUGUACCGAGAACGAACACACGUAUUCAAGGAGAGAAUCCUAAGGCGAGCGAGAUAACUAUAGUUAAGGAACUCUGCAAAAUGACUCCGUAACUUCGGGAGAAGGAGUGCCAACUUUUGUUGGCCGCAGUGAAAUGGCCCAAGCGACUGUUUACCUAAAACACAGCUCUCUGCUAAACCGUAAGGUGAUGUAUAGGGGGUGACGCCUGCCCAGUGCUGGAAGGUUAAGGUGAAGGUUUAGAAUUUAUUCGAAGAUCUGAUCUGAAGCCCCAGUGAACGGCGGCCGUAACUAUGACGGUCCUAAGGUAGCGAAGUUCCUUGUCGGGUAAGUUCCGACCCGCACGAAAGGCGUAAUGAUUUGGGCACUGUCUCAACGAGAGACCCGGUGAAAUCAUAGUACCUGUGAAGAUGCAGGUUACCCGCGACAGGACGGAAAGACCCCAUGGAGCUUUACUGUAGCUUGGUAUUGGGUUUUGGUGUGAUAUGUAUAGGAUAGUUGGGAGACAGGGAAAUAUAUUCGCUAGAAUGUAUGGAGUCGUUGUUGGAAUACCAACCAUAUUACACUGGAAUUCUAAUUUGAGGUUUGUAACCUUGAAGACAGUUCUAGGUGGGCAGUUUGACUGGGGCGGUCGCCUCCGAAAGAGUAACGGAGGCGCCCAAAGGUUCCCUCAGCCUGGUUGGCAAUCAGGUGUCGAGUGUAAGUGCACAAGGGAGCUUGACUGUGAGACUGACGGGUCGAGCAGGGACGAAAGUCGGGACUAGUGAUCUGACGGUGGCUUGUGGAUGUGCCGUCACUCAACGGAUAAAAGGUACCCCGGGGAUAACAGGCUGAUCUUCCCCAAGAGUCCAUAUCGACGGGAUGGUUUGGCACCUCGAUGUCGGC